GCGAAACCGCCCCCGUGUGGGGCGGUCGUCCGGGGGUGGCGCUCCGGGCCUGAUGAGCAGCCAAA
rnacentral:hammerhead_ribozyme from 1 species